AUGAACGCUGGCGGCGUGCCUAAUACAUGCAAGUCGAGCGAACAGACGAGGAGCUUGCUCCUCUGACGUUAGCGGCGGACGGGUGAGUAACACGUGGAUAACCUACCUAUAAGACUGGGAUAACUUCGGGAAACCGGAGCUAAUACCGGAUAAUAUAUUGAACCGCAUGGUUCAAUAGUGAAAGACGGUUUUGCUGUCACUUAUAGAUGGAUCCGCGCCGCAUUAGCUAGUUGGUAAGGUAACGGCUUACCAAGGCAACGAUGCGUAGCCGACUUGAGAGGGUGAUCGGCCACACUGGAACUGAGACACGGUCCAGACUCCUACGGGAGGCAGCAGUAGGGAAUCUUCCGCAAUGGGCGAAAGCCUGACGGAGCAACGCCGCGUGAGUGAUGAAGGUCUUCGGAUCGUAAAACUCUGUUAUUAGGGAAGAACAAAUGUGUAAGUAACUAUGCACGUCUUGACGGUACCUAAUCAGAAAGCCACGGCUAACUACGUG
rnacentral:rRNA from 1 species